AGAGUUUGAUCCUGGCUCAGAUUGAACGCUGGCGGCAUGCCUUACACAUGCAAGUCGAACGGUAACAGGUCUUCGGAUGCUGACGAGUGGCGAACGGGUGAGUAAUACAUCGGAACGUGCCCAGACGUGGGGGAUAACGAGGCGAAAGCUUUGCUAAUACCGCAUACGAUCUAAGGAUGAAAGCAGGGGACCGCAAGGCCUUGCGCGUUUGGAGCGGCCGAUGGCAGAUUAGGUAGUUGGUGGGAUAAAAGCUUACCAAGCCGACGAUCUGUAGCUGGUCUGAGAGGACGACCAGCCACACUGGGACUGAGACACGGCCCAGACUCCUACGGGAGGCAGCAGUGGGGAAUUUUGGACAAUGGGCGAAAGCCUGAUCCAGCAAUGCCGCGUGCAGGAUGAAGGCCUUCGGGUUGUAAACUGCUUUUGUACGGAACGAAAAGGCUCUGGCUAAUACCUGGGGCACAUGACGGUACCGUAAGAAUAAGCACCGGCUAACUACGUGCCAGCAGCCGCGGUAAUACGUAGGGUGCGAGCGUUAAUCGGAAUUACUGGGCGUAAAGCGUGCGCAGGCGGUUUUGUAAGACAGAGGUGAAAUCCCCGGGCUCAACCUGGGAACUGCCUUUGUGACUGCAAAGCUGGAGUGCGGCAGAGGGGGAUGGAAUUCCGCGUGUAGCAGUGAAAUGCGUAGAUAUGCGGAGGA
rnacentral:rRNA from 1 species